ensembl:lncRNA
GCUUCAGUUUUAAUUUGACUUGAUUUCGGCAUCGGUGGAGUCGCCAUCUUGGUCUUGGGGUGUUUGCGUGAUCCCGGAGUUACCGCUGACAUCGUGGCGUUCCUCGCUUGCGACGACGUGCCUGUUCGCGUCCAAAACAAAAAAGGUGUGAAGAAGAGAUUGAUUCUUGUGUUUUCUUUUUGGUUUAGUUUAAUCGACCCAGACAUUUCCCGGUUAAGGUCUCGGGAUUCAAAUUCACCCCAGGCCCCCGUCCUAGAUAUCAUACGACAAACUACUUUUGUAUUUUGUCUUUUAUUCCACCGUCAUGUAAGUAAUGUCGCAGGUGAAAGUCACAACCUGGGGUUUUUGGCCCGGAUGAUUUCCUGUUUGUUCUCCUCUAUGAGGAGCGUGCGGGAAUAAACAAAAAUAAAAAUAACCUCCCAUGUCUGAACAGUUACCGUGAAAAAAAAAAAAAAAACUUCUUAAAGAGGCUGAACAGCAGACGUCAUGGAAAGGACGUCAUGUGGAGCCAAGUGAGAUCUGUGAGAUUGUUGCCUCAUUCCUUCCCCCGGAAAAUGAAACGUGACAAAGAAAAAAAAAGAUCAUGAAGUCAUGAAGCAAAAACUCUGAGAACGCACGCCACACCCUGCGUUCUUGUUCCGAUGACAAAGAGCGCCGGCGGCCUCGGUGUAAGUCAAAGGUCACCUGGAACCACAGAAUACAAUGUCAUUCGCCGCAGCGCGGUGACCAUUGACCUACGGGAGGUGUGGAAACCGAAACAGGGGUGGCGAGGGACAACUUUGUCCAGUGACCAGUGCAGCAUUGAGGCACCACUAGCCAGGUGACACUCGCUCCUUCUCGUCUCGGUGUGCGUGCUGCCGAGGCGCGGCGGCGUCACCCGCUGGUCACUGGACUUCCCUUUUAACCCUCAGACCUCGGCAUCCAGACAGAUGCCAUCUUGUCUUUGGAAUGUUUUCAUAGUCGUCUGAAGCUUUUCACCUUUUGUUUGCGGUUUCCGAUGUGCAUCCAAUAGGACGCGUGUCACUGAUCCCCGGACCGGGUUCAGGUGGAGUCCAGCGGGGGCCACCGCGGCGAGCGGGACAACGUGGUCGGAUCGCCAGACGGCCUCUGUGCACACGCGCUUCAAAGAGGGGCUCCGGUGCGGAUAUCGAACGACGCGGGAGGCGACGACUUGAACCAGCCAGCUGAUAGAGUGUUACACUGUUUUGGUGAUAAGAGUUUGCAUUCAGCAGCUUCCCCUCCACCUUUGAUCCAGAUCGAUGGCCCCCGAGGAGGCAGCGUGAGGCCGAGUGAACGGCCCCCGACUUUAACGCGAUUCCCUCCACGUGCCCCUGCACACGUUUUAUUCAGGAAGCUCUAUUGAUGGAGCAGCUUGUCAACACGUGAACAGAAGCUUUUGGAGGCUGAGGAUCACGCGUUUUAACAGAAUGAUACAACAGUUAAUGGGAGACGGAACACUUUUUUAAUAUUAUAAGGACUAUCGUUAUUUAAUACACCUUCAAACAAGGGCUUAGACCAAAAGACUGUAACUGGAAAAACAGUAAGAACAACAGGUGUGUAGCAGUGAUAUUAAACGUAAUAAUAACAGUGAUAAGUCAAAUUAAAUUAUAUAUAUAUAUACAUAUUCAACAGCCCUAUUUAUUAUAACUUCAAAUAAGGUUUUUUGUAAACCGCAGCGAUGCUGCAGAGGCCGAAAUCCUGCAUUUGUCAUGUUAGCAGACUAAGCUUAGCACAGUUUGCAGGGUCAGAUGUUAACGGAUCCAGAACAAGUGGAAAACUUUACCGGUGUCAUAAACGCACCAUCGGGGAGCAAAAUGACUAAAAAGGGAGACUUUUGAGAUCUUCUUUCGUCACUGAGGGAAACUUUUAGUUACAAGAAUAUAAAUCGUGACAAGUUGGUGACACGAUGCCCAGCGCAUAUAUAUAUUGGACCACACAUACAGGCGAUGAUCUCUGGCUGUUGAACACGUGGCCGCAGCACAGAGCGAUCCUGCUUUGUCCACAGCACAUGAACCAACUGAACUCAGGAGGUGACGACCAAAGAGCGAAAUGUCCGAUCAGAGCAAACAGCUCUUUUUUCUUUUUUUUUCACAACACGAGGGACCGUUUUCACUGGCAACUAAUUAUGCUUCUGCUUAAACUAAAUUUGAAUUUUUUUUGUUCCUCUAGAAGAAGCUCAAAGCUAAAAAGGUCUUCACUGAAAACAUUUAGAUGGUCAGUAUUCCAUUUGCACAAUGACAGGACAUUGUAAAGGCGGAAAUGUUGGCUAAAUGUGCCACUUUCUUCACCACGUAGUCUAAAUGUGUGCGUCCGUGCUGGCCGGUGGAUCAGUGUGAAAUGCAUAAAAAGAAGAGGUUUCCACUGUUACAUAACCCGUUUCUCUUCAUUUCAUUUCAUUACCGACCUCCACCGAAAAGGUCGACACUAACAACUACUGAACUUUGCCCCAGUAAGUGUCCUCUUAAAUGGAGAGAGAGAGGGGGGGGAGAGAGACACAGAGCAGUGGUGAGUCAGAGAGGACAGAAGAAGACCACUGGAACAAGGAUCUCCCACUCAAAUCCGGCGAAUAAGUGUAGGAAAAAGACCUUUCCCGGCAUUGGUGCUUAAAUGCUGAACGUUUUGGUUUGUUUUGAAGGAUUCUUUAACGGGACCUCGGUCUCCCCCUACUGGAGAACUGAUGAAACCACAGGGACCGUCCCGGCUGCAGCGUUCACGUCCCACAGAAUGAACCGGGACGGACUCCGACACUCUCCUGAUCUCCUUUAACCUUCUCUAAUGUAAUGCGUUGACUUGCAGGUGCCUUAGUGCCACCAGGCGUCGCGGGGACUCGGGACAUCGAGGGGGGGGGGGGGGGGGGAUGGAAGGCAGCGGCGGGUCAGAGCCUGCGCCUCCCGCCCGCGAGGACAUCGGCUGCGCCGGGGCCUCUGCUCUCCUCGGGCCCCCUGGACAAGUGGCACCACCAGGCGGACUCCGUCCUCACGGCGGCCCGGCUCGCUCGCAGAGGAUGGACGGAGGAGGGGACGAAGAUGGCAUGGGGGCCGGACCCCUCGCGUCGACCCCCCGCCUCCGGGUCAGAUGGGAAUCGGGCCUCGGAACGUGGCGCCGUUGGCCCGAAGGAACCCGGGGGCGGACGGGUUCGGGACGCGGAGACGGAAGCCUCGUUCUCGGCGGACAGACGCGCCGAGGGACAGACGGGCCUCCGCGUUGUGGUGUCCGUCCGCCGCGCCGCAUGCAGACAGCCGAGGAGGUUCAAGGCGCCGAGACUACCGGUCAUCGCUGAGAUGUAGACCGACGCCGCCGUCUCCUCCAGAGGGGACACAAAUGUCUUCCUUAUGAUAAGUUCUACAGAUUCUAGUGCUCUUAUUUAAACUUACAUGGAGGACUUUUAUGUAAAGCGACCUCACAAAUAUAACCGCAUGCUUGUGUGUUCCUGUGAAAACUAAACCAUGUGUAUUUACUAGUUAAAUGUUCAGGCAGUAAGUGUUGCCAUUCUUCAUGUCAGGUAAAUAAAUAUUACAUUUGGUCUCAACUGUUCUCAAAGUUAAUGAGUAACUCCUUUGAGGCUGUAUUUUCCGACUGGUCUUAGUGGAUCCACGUAUCAAGUCCAUGUUGACCCGCUGCUGGCAGAGAUCACAGAAGUCAAAAACGAGUCAACUCCAGCUCUUCCUCGCUGAGCCGUCCAUCUCGCGCCGGCGUUCCCCACAAAUAUGUUUCAGGAUCAGGAAUCCUGUUCCCCCCUCUCCUCCCCUGGAAGGCGAACGUACACCGUGUUGUGAUUUUAACCCGUGACACGCCUCUGAUCUUCCUUUCAGCUCCAUCCCUUUUUAAUGUGGAGCAAUUAGUUUCAAGGGGAUGUGAGGCGGCACAGUGGAAGGAGCCGGGCCGGGUUACCCACUCCCAUCACUCCCAUCACUCCCAUUACUCCCAUUACUACCAUUACUACCAUCACCGC